rnacentral:rRNA from 1 species
AUUGAACGCUGGCGGCAUGCUUUACACAUGCAAGUCGAACGGCAGCGCGGGCUUCGGCCUGGCGGCGAGUGGCGAACGGGUGAGUAAUGCAUCGGAACGUGCCCAGUAGUGGGGGAUAGCCCGGCGAAAGCCGGAUUAAUACCGCAUACGACCUGAGGGUGAAAGCGGGGGACCGAAAGGCCUCGCGCUAUUGGAGCGGCCGAUGUCGGAUUAGCUAGUUGGUGGGGUAAAGGCUUACCAAGGCGACGAUCCGUAGCUGGUCUGAGAGGACGACCAGCCACACUGGGACUGAGACACGGCCCAGACUCCUACGGGAGGCAGCAGUGGGGAAUUUUGGACAAUGGGGGCAACCCUGAUCCAGCCAUGCCGCGUGAGGGAAGAAGGCCUUCGGGUUGUAAACCGCUUUUGUUCGGGAAGAAAUCCUCUGGGCUAAUACCCCGGGGGGAUGACGGUACCGGAAGAAUAAGCACCGGCUGACUACGUG